rnacentral:lncRNA from 1 species
AGAGAGUUGCAUCUAGGUUCUAAUCAAUUUCAAGGGAGGAUACCACAAGGUAUUGGAAAACUUUCACAGCUUAGAAUUUUGGACGUCUCGUCCAAUAGGCUGGAAGGAUUACCAGACAGUAUGGCGCAACUAUCGAACCUGGAAAGUUUUGAUGCCUCUUACAAUGCCCUGAAGGGUACAAUCACUGAGUCCCAUCUUUCAAACCUCAAGUAUGGGGCAACUAUCGAACCUGGAAAGUUUUGAUGCCUCUUACAAUGCCCUGAAGGGUACAAUCACUGAGUCCCAUCUUUCAAACCUCUCCAGUUUAGUGUAUUUGGACUUAUCGUUCAACUCGUUGGCUUUGAAGACGAGCUUUGAUUGGCUUCCUCCUUUUCAGCUUCAAUUUAUAAACCUUCCAUCUUGCAAUUUGGGACCUUCUUUCCCCAAGUGGCUU